GUUGUUAGGAAGGUCUUCUGGGAGCCCUGUCACGGGGGUGAGACUGGAGGUCAGCGGACUGGUUAAGGCAAUCCUAGAGCAAUUCUGCAGGACCUAAUUGGACCCUGAGAAUGAGGGGAAAUGAGUUGAGAAAUGCCAAGGAUUGUAGCUUGGGUCCAUGAAUCAGUAGGACGCUGUUACGGAGUUAAACAGAGCCUUUAAAAACAGGUAAAACCUGUUAAGAGAUCAAAUAUUGAAUGAACUAAUUAAUGAAAGACUGGGUGGAGAGUGAGGAAUGGAGAAGUCGUGUAACAAAGGCGAAGCAGAAGGGGUGGAAGUCGGGAAACAAGUUUGGUUUGGGAUCCAUGGAAACUGAGGUCUCUCCAGCAACCAGGUAAAGACACCACCAGUUGACUGACCGAGUUGGAGACAUCCAACAUGAAUACUGCAUGCGAACCUACUGAUCCAAACAAUCGGACUCAAAAUAGAGCACCCCCAGAAAAGCCACAGACUCUUAAAGUGGCCGGAAGCUAGCACACCCGAGGACGUCUACUCAAGGGAGUGAGAAGUAGAGAAGAGGAAAAGGCGCUCAAGGCUCCCUUGACCCACAGCAGAAAUGACAUGACAUCUGGGAUUUGCUUUGAAAUUAACUGAUGGAGAUCAGACGAAACACCACUGGCUGUGAACCACUGAGGCUGAAUACAUAACUGAGGACAAGGAACAAUGACGGAGGAAUGCAAGGAAGAAGAGCGUGGCUGAGCACAUCAGCGGGCAAGAGCCAUCUGAGGGGGAAGCAGGGUAUCUAAGAGAAAGCAAUCCUAGGCCAGGUCCCCCGGGUAAGAUGGACUGGUACAAGGGAGAGAGAUCCAGGAACGGGGCCUUGGCAGGACAGGUCCUGUAACAAUCAGGCAAGCCUUGGAUGGUGACUAACAGACGUGCACAUCUGAGCAGGAGAUCGGCAAUCAAAAGGCUGAAGGAUUCCGCAGCGGAUCUCCUCCUUCCAGAUUUCCAUUUUUCUCCUGUUGCGUUUCUCAGCCAGGGAUGGUCUCUGCAAUUAAAUGACCGAAAGGUCCUUUUUCUCCACAAGCCCCAUUCCGAAGACAGGCUCUGUGCCUACCUGGGGACUGAGAUGCUGGCUUUUUGAGCUCUCCUGGGAAAAUGGGAACAAAGGCUCUAAAUAUGGCUCAAAACCCUUGCACGAGACCACAUGGAAAAGGCAGCAUGAGGCUGGCAGGAGGAGGAGCCCAUCAGAAGUAAAAGGCUCUGCAUCCAGGACCCAUCCCGUUCGGAUCGCUGUGCAAGAUUUCUCCAACCAAAGCUCCCGGGUCCCAAGUGUAAGGCUGACUGGAUUCCCAUCAGGAAACUGCGCAAGGGUAUGUUCUUGUACAGAGUCUCUCCAACGUUAUUCUUGGCUCUGCUAACAUUGCUUUGGCUUUAAAAAAAUCAAUAAAUAAAGCAAGCAGAAGGUCCCUUCACAUCCAGGCUGGACUAAAGGGGCUUUGCCCUUACCAAGCCAAAGGGAUAUUUAGCCCAAGGAGAUCACUUCUGCUGGAUACCUGAUGCUUCACAUGAUUUUUCCUUGGGAAGGCCAGCAGUUCACAGGAAGCUUUGCUACAUGAGAAUCGAUGUUGCUAAGCUACCAAAAGUCACUGUGGUGAGAGAAA